ACUGGGGAUAAUACCGGAUAACGCAUAUGUGCUGGAAUGCUUUAUGCGUAAAACGGAUUCGUCCGCCCAAGGAUGGGUCUGCGGCCUAUCAGGUAGUAGUGGGUGUAAUGUACCUACUAGCCAACAACGGGUACGGGUUGUGAGAGCAAGAGCCCGGAGAUGGAUUCUGAGACAUGAAUCCAGGCCCUACGGGGCGCAGCAGGCGCGAAAACUUUACAAUGCGGGAAACCGUGAUAAGGGAACACCGAGUGCCAGCAUCAUAUGCUGGCUGUCCAGAUGUGUAAACUACAUCUGUUAGCAAGGGCCGGGCAAGACCGGUGCCAGCCGCCGCGGUAACACCGGCGGCCCGAGUGGUGACCGUUAUUAUUGGGUCUAAAGGGUCCGUAGCCGGUUUGGUCAGUCCUCCGGGAAAUCUGAUAGCUUAACUGUUAGGCUUUCGGGGGAUACUGCCAGGCUUGGAACCGGGAGAGGUAAGAGGUACUACAGGGGUAGGAGUGAAAUCUUGUAAUCCCUGUGAGACCACCUGUGGCGAAGGCGUCUUACCAGAGCGGGUUCGACGGUGAGGGACGAAAGCUGGGGGCACGAACCGGAUUAGAUACCCGGGUAGUCCCAGCCGUAAACUAUGCUCGCUAGGUGUCAGGCAUGGCGCGACCGUGUCUGGUGCCGCAGGGAAGCCGUGAAGCGAGCCACCUGGGAAGUACGGCCGCAAGGCUGAAACUUAAAGGAAUUGGCGGGGGAGCACAAGGGCG
rnacentral:rRNA from 1 species